rnacentral:rRNA from 1 species
AAUGGGCGAAAGCCUGACGGAGCAACGCCGCGUGAGGGAUGAAGGCCUCUGGGCUGUAAACCUCUUUUAUCAAGGAAGAAGAUCUGACGGUACUUGAUGAAUAAGCCACGGCUAAUUCCGUGCCAGCAGCCGCGGUAAUAUGGGAGUGGCAAGCGUUAUCCGGAAUUAUUGGGCGUAAAGCGUCCGCAGGCGGCCUGACAAGUCUGCUGUUAAAGCGUGGAGCUUAACUCCAUUUCAGCAGUGGAAACUGUCAGGCUUGAGUGUGGUAGGGGCAGAGGGAAGUCCCGGUGUAGCGGUGAAAUGCGUAGAUAUCGGGAAGAACACCAGUGGCGAAAGCGCUCUGCUGGGCCAUCACUGACGCUCAUGGACGAAAGCCAGGGGAGCGAAAGGGAUU